GGUAGCUACGUACGGACGGGAUAACCGCUGAAAGCAUCUAAGCGGGAAGCCCCCCCCAAGAUUAGGUUUCCCCGGGGACACGAUCCCCCUGAAGGGCCCUCGAAGACUACGAGGUUGAUAGGCUGGGUGUGGAAGUUCAGUAAUGGAUGAAGCUAACCAGUACUAAUUGCCCGUGAGGCUUGACCAUAUAACACCCAAGGAGCUUGG
rnacentral:rRNA from 1 species